rnacentral:rRNA from 1 species
AGAGGGUGCAAACGUUGUUCGGAAUUACUGGGCAUAAAGCGUACGUAGGCGGCGCGUCUAGUGCAUGGUGAAAUCCCACGGCUUACCCGUGGAACUGCUGUGCAUACUGGCGUGCUCGAGGACGGUAGGGGAGUGCGGAACUCUUGGUGGAGCGGUGAAAUGCGUAGAUAUCAAGAGGAACACCGAAGGCGAAGGCAGCACUCUGGUCCGUUUCUGACGCUGAGGUACGAAAGCCAGGGGUAGCGAACGGGAUUAGAUACCCCGGUAGUCCUGGCCGUAAACGAUGGGUACUAGUUAGUGGUCCCUUCCUGUGGGAUCAUUGGCGAAGCAAAAUGUGAUAAGUACCCCCCGGCCUGGGGAGUAUGGUCGCAAGGCUA